rnacentral:rRNA from 1 species
AAAUUGAAGAGUUUGAUCAUGGCUCAGAUUGAACGCUGGCGGCAGGCCUAACACAUGCAAGUCGAACGGUAACAGGAAGCAGCUUGCUGUUUUGCUGACGAGUGGCGGACGGGUGAGUAAUGUCUGGGAAACUGCCUGAUGGAGGGGGAUAACUACUGGAAACGGUAGCUAAUACCGCAUAACGUCGCAAGACCAAAGAGGGGGACCUUAGGGCCUCUUGCCAUCGGAUGUGCCCAGAUGGGAUUAGCUAGUAGGUGGGGUAACGGCUCACCUAGGCGACGAUCCCUAGCUGGUCUGAGAGGAUGACCAGCCACACUGGAACUGAGACACGGUCCAGACUCCUACGGGAGGCAGCAGUGGGGAAUAUUGCACAAUGGGCGCAAGCCUGAUGCAGCCAUGCCGCGUGUAUGAAGAAGGCCUUCGGGUUGUAAAGUACUUUCAGCGGGGAGGAAGGGAGUAAAGUUAAUACCUUUGCUCAUUGACGUUACCCGCAGAAGAAGCACCGGCUAACUCCGUGCCAGCAGCCGCGGUAAUACGGAGGGUGCAAGCGUUAAUCGGAAUUACUGGGCGUAAAGCGCACGCAGGCGGUUUGUUAAGUCAGAUGUGAAAUCCCCGGGCUCAACCUGGGAACUGCAUCUGAUACUGGCAAGCUUGAGUCUCGUAGAGGGGGGUAGAAUUCCGGUGUAGCGGUGAAAUGCGUAGAGAUCUGGAGGAAUACCGGUGGCGAAGGCGGCCCCCUGGACGAAGACUGACGCUCAGGUGCGAAAGCGUGGGGAGCAAACAGGAUUAGAUACCCUGGUAGUCCACGCCGUAAACGAUGUCGACUUGGAGGUUGUGCCCUUGAGGCGUGGCUUCCGGAGCUAACGCGUUAAGUCGACCGCCUGGGGAGUACGGCCGCAAGGUUAAAACUCAAAUGAAUUGACGGGGGCCCGCACAAGCGGUGGAGCAUGUGGUUUAAUUCGAUGCAACGCGAAGAACCUUACCUGGUCUUGACAUCCACGGAAGUUUUCAGAGAUGAGAAUGUGCCUUCGGGAACCGUGAGACAGGUGCUGCAUGGCUGUCGUCAGCUCGUGUUGUGAAAUGUUGGGUUAAGUCCCGCAACGAGCGCAACCCUUAUCCUUUGUUGCCAGCGGUCCGGCCGGGAACUCAAAGGAGACUGCCAGUGAUAAACUGGAGGAAGGUGGGGAUGACGUCAAGUCAUCAUGGCCCUUACGACCAGGGCUACACACGUGCUACAAUGGCGCAUACAAAGAGAAGCGACCUCGCGAGAGCAAGCGGACCUCAUAAAGUGCGUCGUAGUCCGGAUUGGAGUCUGCAACUCGACUCCAUGAAGUCGGAAUCGCUAGUAAUCGUGGAUCAGAAUGCCACGGUGAAUACGUUCCCGGGCCUUGUACACACCGCCCGUCACACCAUGGGAGUGGGUUGCAAAAGAAGUAGGUAGCUUAACCUUCGGGAGGGCGCUUACCACUUUGUGAUUCAUGACUGGGGUGAAGUCGUAACAAGGUAACCGUAGGGGAACCUGCGGUUGGAUCACCUCCUUA